rnacentral:rRNA from 1 species
GAUGAACGCUAGCGGCAGGCCUAACACAUGCAAGUCGAGGGAGAAGCCCUUCGGGGCAGAAACCGGCGCACGGGUGCGUAACGCGUAUGCAACCUACCUUUCACAGGGGGAUAGCCCGAAGAAAUUUGGAUUAAUACCCCAUAAUAUUAUUGGAUGGCAUCAUUUGAUAAUUAAAAUUACGAUGGUGAAAGAUGGGCAUGCGUCCUAUUAGCUAGUUGGAGUGGUAACGGCACCCCAAGGCUACGAUAGGUAGGGGUCCUGAGAGGGAGAUCCCCCACACUGGUACUGAGACAGGGACCAGACUCCUACGGGAGGCAGCAGUGAGGAAUAUUGGUCAAUGGUCGGAAGACUGAACCAGCCAUGCCGCGUGCAGGAAGAAUGCCUUAUGGGUUGUAAACUGCU